rnacentral:rRNA from 1 species
UACGUAGGGGGCGAGCGUUGUCCGGAAUUAUUGGGCGUAAAGAGCGUGUAGGCGGUUCGGUAAGUCUGUCGUGAAAUCCUGGGGCUCAACCUCGGGCGUGCGAUGGAUACUGCCGGGCUAGAGGGUGGUAGAGGCGAGUGGAAUUCCCGGUGUAGCGGUGAAAUGCGCAGAUAUCGGGAGGAACACCAGUAGCGAAGGCGGCUCGCUGGGCCACACCUGACGCUGAGACGCGAAAGCAUGGGGAGCGAACAGG